AUGAACGAGUCCUACCUUUCAGAUGCAGCAGAAAUGACACUACGAGUGAAUAUUUGGGGUUCAUGGCAGAUUCACUCGAUAUUAUGAAUCAAUAUGGUUUGGUGUUUGAGUUUAAAAUGCCUGGAAUGAUUCCUUGAUGUGAAAGGGAACGUCUCCUCAUGAAGAAUGAAGACUCAUUGCUGGAUGCUGGACUCAAUAUGAAGAACUCGCAGAAAAAACAUGAGGAACAACUUCUGACGAUGUCUUCUAUCAUCGGGGUUUUUUUAAAGGGGUGGUUGAUUAUGAUUUCACUUUUUUAACUUUAGUUAGUGUGUAAUGUUGCUGUUUGAGCAUAAACAACAUCUGCAAAAUGAUGACACUCAAAGUUCAAUGCAAAGGGAGAUAUUUCGCUGUUUAAGGACUACAACAAACAGCUGGUAGGGACUACAACGAGCUUCUUCCUGGGUUGGUGACAUCACUAACCCUAAAAUUUACAUAAACCCCGCCCCCGAGAACACACAACAAAGGAGGUGAGGCCAUGUUGGGCUGCUUUAGAGAAGAGGAAGAGUUGUUGUAGUAGAGUGUUGUUGACAUGCCGUCAUUUUACGCUGGACUGCUUCACAAACGAGGGUCAAUUCAACGCUGGAUUUGCACAAAAGAUUAACAUGACGGCACAUGCUAGUCGAUGAGUUGAAACUACAUAAAUUUAUCCACUAACCAUUCAGAAACGUCCAGUUUCAUUCUAAAAGUUGUAACUUCUUCCCGAGUCUCUCCAUCAGUGUCGACUCCGGUUUGAACAAUGUAAGGCUGAACACCGUUACUGACAAUCCUCAUUUUGGCUGCGUGAGAUUCUCCAGCUUUGUUGUUGUUGAGCGACCGAAGCGUGAGCUGUUAAAGCUCCGCCCUCUUCUGGAAAGUGGGCCGGGAGCAGCAGCUCAUUUGCAUUUAAAGGGACACACACAAAAACGGCGUGUUUUUGCUCACACCCAAAUAGGGGCAAAUUUGACAAGCUAUAAUAAAUGAUCUGUGGGGGAUUUUGAGCUGAAACUUCACAGACACAUUCUGGGAGACUUAUAUUAAAUCUUGUGAAAAGGGGCAUAAUAGGUCCCCUUUAAUUAGUCAGUGUCCUGCAGAAUAACUAAACCUGAGCUGGUUUAUAGCUUCUGAUCAUUUGAAUCUCUCUACAGGGUGCUGGUACUUCUGGUCAUGCGCUUUGACAUUAGAUCCUCAAUGCACUCAAGGAUCAACUGGAAGUUCCAGAAGAGUUUUCACUGUCCUGCAGUACAGAAGUGGAAGCAACAGACGGCAGCAGCACACAGUACAAACUAGCUGGUGUCGUGUCACAUCUGGGCAGCAGUUUGUAUUGUGGGCACUACAUCAGUCACAUCCGUGACUUUAGUGGGUCUGGUUGGCUGGAAUGCAGUGACACCAGCAUCAGAAGAUCCAGCUGUAGUAAACAUCGGGAAGAAUGGAUACUUGCUCUUCUACGUGUAGAGCUGAGCACUGGCUGGUUGAUGCAGUUUUGAAGAGGAAGGGAACCAAAGCUUAGUGAAAAUCCUUCUGUGGCUCCAUCACAUCUCUUCCACCAGAGCAUCCGUUUGCAAGGCCGAUUCCUGAAGGCUUUUUGGUCAGCUUAGCUUCUGGCAGGUUGACUGGCUGUACUUCUCCUGCUAGUCAGCGUCUGGCUGGGCCGGGUCUUCUCAUGGAAAAUGUUGGCGUCUCGCGGCUCCUGUUAACAUUUUUCGCCUCAUGGCGUUCUUCAUUGGAGAGAUGCAUUGCUCUACAUCAGUGGUUCAUUAUGCAAUCGGCACGUGAUGAAGACAAUAAAUACCAUCAAAAGAGCUUAUCUCCAUCAUGAGAGCUUCACAUCUUCUCAGACUGUACAGAUCUGAAGUCAAGAGAGCCUCAUCAUUCAUUACUGCCAGUAAAGGCCUCACUGAAAUCAGUAGAAAGAAACGGCUCAUGGGUGAUGGAGGAGUUUGCUUCAGCACUGGACAUAAACCACUGUAUUCUGCAUGUGCGACAAGAAAAAAAGAUUGAAAGUUAAUCGAAUUAAUGUGUGAAAACCCUUACGAAAAUUAACCAUAGUUUUACUACAAAUAAAACAAAAAACAUGGUUAUUGUAGUUAAAACACGGUAAUGAAAUUGACCAUGAUUUUGCUACACUAACAAUAAUUUAACCAUGGUAUUUGUAGUAAAAUUGUGGUUAUACAAAUGGUAACAAAUCCACCCAAAAAACAUGGUUACUGCACUUUUACUAUAAUAAAUUUUCGUAAGAAAUAAUGGUGUAUAAAUAGUAAAAAUAUAAAUAGUAGAGGGUUUGUAUAUUAUGAAUGCAUUUCAUAUCAACUACACGUUUACAUGUGUAUUCACAGUUAAUCAUCAAACAGUUUUAAUAAAAUAUUCAGAACACUGAACUUAUGAAGUAAACUGUCAUUCCACAUGAACUACAAUGUAAUAUUUACCUCAGUGAGCGGCGAAAAAUGAAUAUUAGUACUUUAGAUAUACAAGGACGCGCACUCGUAUUAGGAGAAAGACAAAAUGGCGGAAUAAGUGCCGCCUUCUAAAUAAAAACAGCCAAUCGCCAAUUGGUAAAGUCAUUGCGUCACUGCAGCUGCCGUUAGAA